GCAACCUUGGCAUGGAGUACUCUCUAUACUAUCCAAGUACAAGUGUACUCCUACACAAUCAGUGUGUGUUGCAUGGAGUACUACUGUAUCCUGUACAGUAUAUACUGUAGUAUAGUGUGUACAAGUGUAGCAUUGUGUGCUGUUUGCCGUCCAGGAGCAGCGUGACCAGCUGAGACGUAUUUAUUGACGUAUUUUCAGCCACUUUGUGUUUCAUUGCAUAGUAUAACUGCUGUUUCACCAUGCAUAUGACACUAAAACUCUUCAAUCAAUCUUGACUUGAAACAUGCUUUCCUCGCCUCGAGCAGUGAAAACGUCUGCAGUGUUCUCUGACGUCCAAGAGAGCACCCCAGGAAUGACAUAGUUGAGGUUGUCUAGCCUCCAUAUGGCGUGCUUUUACACCCCCCCAGUAGGUGCAUUAAACACAUUCCUGGCCGGCAGCACCAGAACGGCCCCCACUCAGGUGUGUUUACAAGGUACGCAGGCUAGCAGCACCCGACCAAUAGGGAGGACAGCCAGGCGGGUUACUCAUCUCUCCUGGGUCAAAGGUGACGACCUCUUCAAGCAAACGUGGAGGCGGAGCCAGGCGGAGGUGGCAUGCUAGCACAGACAUCAUCAUCAUCUUCACCCCUCCACAGGAUUUCCUCCAAGAAGCAUCACAGCCUGCCUGAAGAGGAAAACUCAUCCAAGCCUCCCUGACCAAGGAAGUAGCCUGCUAGCUAACAAAAAGACAAAUAUGCUCCUUUUGGAGUCGAUGAUGUAGCUUCAGUGGCAGCGGAAGCAUAGUGUGGCGCUCAAGAUGAGAAAUGCUACGAUGCUGUCAUCUUCUACCAAGCAACACAUGCGCAUUACCUCUGACCUCUACCGAGUGCUGUUCUAUUUUUUUUAAAGCUGUGAUGAACGCAUGAAAACAAACGAUAUGACACGUUUCCAUCGCUGCACCACGUCACCAAUUGGCAAAUAGCGUGUGGUGUCCUCCCAUGGACACCGCCAGGACACCCUUGCUUCAGUUGACCUCCAAACCCGUGAAAAAGCUGCCCGCAAAGGUGGUCUGGGACAGAUAUAAAAACAGAUGAAAAGGGCAGCUAAGAAUGCACGUAAUGGGACACCAACUGGCAGCUCAGCCUCAUUUCCGGACGUGACGUCAUCAGGGUGACAAACGCUUCUCCGGGGAGAUGGUGGACAUGCUUCAGUAUAUUUUUCAUCCAAAGUGUCCCAGUGAUACUGUGAGUUUGUUUUCUUCUCCAAAAGACGAAGGUUUAGGACGACAAUGGACGAAGCAAGUGCAGAGAACGAGAGACAAAUGGACGCCCGCCUCGAGUUCUGUCCUUUGCUGUGAUCACUUCACUGAUGAGUGAUGAAAGUACGCUACAAACGCAUCUUGUAAAAGGAUGCUAUUCUGCUGGUACACAGGAAAAAGAAAACUUCAAACAACGAAGAACAACCACUGCGUCAAAGUUGGCAGAAGAGAGAAAACGAUGACUUCACGUCUGCCCUCUCCCCUUCCGUAAGAUGAUGCAUCCCUGAGGGCCGACAACCAGGAGGGCACAUGGAGACCUCUGUGGGUGAAGUCGGUCUCUUUCUUUGGGAUGUGACCCAUAUCGUGCACAAACCGGUGCUUCUGCAUUUCUAGUCGUGUGCAAAUAAACGGUCUUUAAGGCCACAGACACGUCUUGCCACACAGUAACACGCCCUUCUAUUUAGGGUUAGAUGAUACGGUGCAUUUAGCUGUACAAUACAUAAAGAUACUGGAACUGUAAGCCCCCUCUGCCUCUUAUGGGUGUGCCCCUCAAUUUGAGAAUCACCAGUCUAGGCUGAGAACCGAAGAUGACCGGACGUCCAGUAUCGGAUCUUUGAUCUUGAUUAUAAUCACAGUAAAACUUGAUGUUAUACGUUAUUUGUACAUAAAUACAACAAUAUCAAUUACAAUGGAAAUGACUUUGUAGUAUAU